GCACCACACGCUUGCAGCAUUAUUCUGUCUGCGAUGGGAGUGCAACCAAACGGAACGGAACGAAUUUUAAUGCAUUCAGGUUUCGUUCAGUUCUGUCCACAUUGACAAUGAAUGGAGACAGACCUGAAACGUUUUCUUCCGCUAUUGAGAUCCUAUGACAGAUCUCAAUAGCGGAAUUGAAAACGCUAAUGUGAAAGUAGCCUUAGCU